rnacentral:lncRNA from 9 species
AGUUGCAAGAAGCACAAGAUCGAUAUAUGGAGGCCGCGAAAUGUAUUGAGAAGAUGCAGCAUCAAGUGCAAAAGUAAGAUUUAAAGCAGCACAGAGAAUAAGUAGGGAUUAAGUACGAAGCACCUAGGCAGUACAGUGUAAGAAUUAUACCAGGAAAGAUGACAAAUAAGACAUCAUUGGGGAGCCGGGUAAAAAUUUCAGUUUUGGGGUGUUGUGAAAUGGCUUUUCCCCAUUAUUUCUAAAUUUCUCUCAUUAUCCGCAAAACCCUGCUAGAAAAACAACAAAAUGGCCAAAACAUCUACCUUUCAAAAAUUUCUGAAUUUCUGCAAUGGAACCUGUGGAUGUUUGUGUACAAUUGGUGUGGUGGUCUUAACAAUCUAUGUGUGAGGAUAAUUAUUUUGAAAUACACAUUCUAGGCUUGAAAAGGAAAAUGCCGAGUUAAAAGAUACAAACAAAAUGCAAGCGGGCACAAUUGAAGAGCUUCAGAGAAACCCGCCGGGUCCAAGUUCGUUGCAAGAAGCACAAGAUCGAUAUAUGGAGGCCGCGAAAUGUAUUGAGAAGAUGCAGCAUCAAGUGCAAAAGCUUGAAAAGGAAAAUGCCGAGUUAAAAGAUACAAACAAAAUGCAAGCGGGCACAAUUGAAGAGCUUCAGAGAAACCCGCCGGGUCCAAGUUCGGUAAGUCGGGUUUUUUCUGUCAUAACCGAAAAGGAAUUUUAAUUGUGUUACCAAUAUUAUAUGAGACUAUUUUAGAAAAUAGGAAGAGUCUCACUGAUGAAAAGCAGUUACGGCAUCGAUAGUGGCACUCUUUGCUACGAAUAGCAGAAUUCCUCUUUAUAGAAGACAUUAACUGAAUUCAUAAAAUGAAUGAUUGUCGUAGGAAGAUUUUAAGUAGAAAGAUUGUGGAAGCGCUCCCAUUGUGGCUCAGCGGCUUAUGAACCCUACCAGUAUCCAUGAGGAUGGGGCCUCGCUCAGUGGGUUAAGGGUCCAGUGUUGCCAAGGCUCUGGUAUAGGUCUCAGCAGCAGCUCUGAUUCAACCCCUAGCCUGGGAACUUCCGUAUGCCACAGGAGUGGCUUUAAAAAAAUAAAUAAAUAAAGAGAGAGACAAGAAGGAAAGAAAGAAAGCGAGGAAUAGAAAAGUUGAGGACUGAACAUCCAGGGUUAGUGUCAUUUAGAAACGAAGUAGGCUUAGAGGAGGGCCUCUUCGGGUCACAUUGUGUAAGUUCAGUUGAGUUCUCUGGAGGAAGAGUGUCAUAAAUACCAAGGGAAUAGAUCAGCACUAUGUGAUAAAUAAGGCUAAGGCUACAGUAUAUUUCUCAGUACCCACCAAUUGGGAGCUUAGAAUUUGAGAUGAAAACUCUUAAUCUUCUUUUUAGCGCCAUCUCAUGUU